CCUACGGGUGGCUGCAGUGGGGAAUAUUGGACAAUGGGGGAAACCCUGAUCCAGCAAUGCCGCGUGUGUGAAGAAGGCCUGCGGGUUGUAAAGCACUUUCGGUUGGGAAGAAAAGUUUGGCGCCAAUACCGCCGAACCUUGACGUUACUGACAGAAGAAGCACCGGCUAACUCUGUGCCAGCAGCCGCGGUAAUACAGAGGGUGCAAGCGUUAAUCGGAAUGAGCGUUGGUGAAGCGGGCAUACGGGUGUGAAAUCCCCGGGCUUAGCCUGGGAACUGCAUUCGAUACUACAUGGCUAGAGUAUGGUAGAGGGAAGUGGAAUUUCCGGUGUAGCGGUGAAAUGCGUAGAUAUCGGAAGGAACACCAAUGGCGAAGGCAGCUUCCUGGACUAAUACUGACACUGAGGCACGAAAGCGUGGGUAGCAAACAGGAUUAGAUACCCCGGUAGUC
rnacentral:rRNA from 1 species